GACGAACGCUGGCGGCGUGCUUAACACAUGCAAGUCGAACGGAAAGGCCCUGCUUUUGUGGGGUGCUCGAGUGGCGAACGGGUGAGUAACACGUGAGUAACCUGCCCUUGACUUUGGGAUAACUUCAGGAGACUGGGGAUAAUACCGGAUAGGAGCUCCUGCUGCAUGGUGGGGGUUGGAAAGUUUCGGCGGUUGGGGAUGGACUCGCGGCUUAUCAGCUUGUUGGGGGGGUAGUUGCUUACCAAGGCUUUGACGGGUAGCCGGCCUGAGAGGGUGACCGGCGACAUUGGGACUGAGAGACGCCCCAGACGCGUACGGGAGGCAGCAGUGGGGAAUAUUGCACAAUGGGCGGAAGCCUGAUGCAGCAACGCUGCGUGCGGGAUGACGGCCUUCGGGUUGUAAACCGCUUUCGCCUGUGACGAAGCGUGAGUGACGGUAAUGGGUAAAGAAGCACCGGCUAACUACGUG
rnacentral:rRNA from 1 species